CUCGAGGUGGAUAUCCUUUGGCGGCGUUGGGUAGCGAGGAUUGAUGUGACAAAGUGAAGGGCAUGCCCUGCCAACCGACCUUGACCUGCUGUGAGGGGUUUGAGUGACCCGAAAGAUGGUGAACUAUGCCUGGGUAGGGUGAAGCCAGAGGAAACUCUGGUGGAGGCUCGUAGCGAUACUGACGUGCAAAUCGUUCGUCGAAUCUGGGUAUAGGGGCGAAAGACUAAUCGAACCAUCUAGUAGCUGGUUCCCUCCGAAGUUCCCUCAGGAUAGCUUGAACGCAACGGUUUUGUCAGGUAAAGCGAAUGAUUAGAGGCCUGUGGGCUGAAACAGCUUGCACCUAUUCUCAAACUUCAAAUGGGCAAGAGGUCCGGGAUGCUUGAGUGAUCCCGGGCGGCGAACGGCGCGUUCAAAGUGGGCCAUUUUUGGUAAGCAGAACUGGCGAUGCGGGAUGAACCGAACGCCGCGCUAAGGUACCCAAGUGUCCUCUCAUCAGAUACCACAAAAGGCGUUGGUACCUCCAGACAGCAGGACGGUGGCCAUGGAAGUCGGAACCCGCUAAGGAGUGUGUAACAACUCACCUGCCGAAGGUACUAGCCCUGAAAAUGGAUGGCGCUCAAGCGGACCACCGAUGCGCGGCCGCCGGCGCGAGCGCGAGGCGCCGGCGAGUAGGAGGGCGCGGGGCUCGCGGCGCAGCCUUGGGCGCGAGCCUGGGUGAAGCGGGCCCCGGUGCAGAUCUUGGUGGUAGUAGCAAAUAUUCAAAUGAGAACUUUGAAGACUGAAGUGGAGAAAGGUUCCGUGUGAACAGCAGUUGGACACGGGUGAGCCGACGAUCAAGCGUCCCGAGCGGCGAGAACUCGAAUGACAGUAGCUCGCCCAGCGCGUC
rnacentral:ncRNA from 1 species